rnacentral:tRNA from 1 species
AGAUCGUUAGCUCAGUCGGCUAGAGCGUCUGGUUUACACCCAGAAGGUCAUCGGUUCGAGUCCGGUACGAUCUA